GACGAACGCUAGCGGCAGGCCUAAUACAUGCAAGUCGAACGGUAAGGUCUCUUCGGAGAUACACGAGUGGCGCACGGGUGCGUAACGCGUAUGCAACCUACCCUAAAGCGGGGAAAGUCGCGGGAAACUGCGAAUAAUACCCCAUGUGAUCUUAAUAUUUCAUGAUAUAAAGAUGAAAGCUCCGGCGCUUUAGGAUGGGCAUGCGUCCCAUUAGUUAGUUGGUAAGGUAACGGCUUACCAAGACAAUGAUGGGUAGCUGGUCUGAGAGGAUGAUCAGCCACACGGGCACUGAGACACGGGCCCG
rnacentral:rRNA from 1 species